GCGCAUGUGGCCUAGUGGCUAACACGUUCGUUUUUGAUUCCGAAGGUCGAUGGUUCGAAUCCUUCAGUGCGGA